UUGGACAAUGGGCGCAAGCCUGAUCCAGCCAUGCCGCGUGAUUGAAGAAGGUCUACGGGUUGUAAAGAACUUUCGGACUGAAAGAAAUCGCGCAGGCUAAUACCCUGCGCGCAAGUCGGUACCGCCAUAAGAAGGACAGGUAAACUCCGGGCCAGUUCGCGCGGUAAUACGUAGGGUGCGAGCGUUAAUCGGAAUUACUGGGCGUAAAGCGUGCGCAGGCGGUUGAUUAAGACAGGCGUGAAAUCCCCGGGCUUAACCUGGGAACUGCGCUUGUGACUGGUCAGCUAGAGUACGGCAGAGGGGGGUGGAAUUCCACGUGUAGCAGUGAAAUGCGUAGAGAUGUGGAGGAACACCGAUGGCGAAGGCAGCCCCCUGGGCCGAUACUGACGCUCAUGCACGAAAGCGUGGGUAGCAAACAGG
rnacentral:rRNA from 1 species